rnacentral:rRNA from 1 species
UACGGGGGGGGCAAGCGUUGUUCGGAAUUACUGGGCGUAAAGGGUUUGUAGGUGGCUUGUUAAGUCAGACGUGAAAUCCCUCAGCUUAACUGGGGAACUGCGUCUGAUACUGGCGAGCUUGAGUGCAGGAGAGGAACGCGGAAUUCCAGGUGUAGCGGUGAAAUGCGUAGAUAUCUGGAGGAACACCGGUGGCGAAGGCAGCACUCUGGGACGUGACUGACGCUGAGACGCGAAAGCGUGGGGAGCAAACAGG